AGGUGCUGUGUUUGACAAGCCAGCCCCUGGAAGAUGUUUUUUCUGAGGAAGUUAUUUUACCUUCAAGUGCAGAGGAACUUGGCAUAUUUGCACAAAGUGUAAGGAAGGAAGCAAAGAGGGAAGAAAAAAUCUCAUGGCAUGUGGGCAAAAUUUCUUUCCUGCAGCAGAGCUGCUGGGAUUCCUCUGCAGCCAUUUGCCUUGCAGGAGAGGAGAUUGGAGAUGCCGUCCCUGGAGUGAGCAGAUGGUGCCAAUAAUGACUGACACCCCUGGAGCUGUGCAGACACAGGCAUCCUCAGCUCCUGGCAGCCACUGACACAAGUUACAGAGUGGGAAAGGACCAAGCUUUCAGCUCCUAUUACAGCAACUUCAAGAAUGUGGUGCUUUGAUUGGUCUCAUCUGUUCUGCCUAUUGGAAGAAACAGCUUUAUCAUAGGAGUGGAGGUCACUCAAUCAGCUCUGCUUGGUCACACUUUGAACUGAAGGAAAUCACAUUUUUUCAGACAAAGGCUUUCUCCAACAUUUUUACAUUUUGAAGUGCAAUGGACAAAACAAUCAUGUCUCUGCUAAACUGAAGCUGUAGCCCUGUGAUAUCCCAGAGAGAGGACUCUGUCACCUGGGACUUGCUUCCAACAUUCCUGCUGGAUUCCUUUCCAUGGAAAUUGUGUAGAGGAUCUUUUAUGGAGUCAGAAGACUGAUUCAAGCUGUGGACCUGAGGAGACUUUCAGGGGGCAGCCAAAAGCAGGGGGAGAAGCCUCCGUGGAGCUGGACCUCUGUACUCGUUAUGAGCUGGUUAGCAAGCACCUGCUAUUCACCAGCUUAGGAAACAAUUGGAAAUUCAAGUAACUCUCAGCAAGAACCUAAAAGAGAACAUCAGGCAGCCAGCCAGUUUCAUAUGCCUCAUCUUUCAAAGAUUUUUGCUCUGAUGCUC